CUGGAGUACAGGUGGUGUUUGAUCACAUGAGUAAGUUCUUCAGUGGUGAUUUGUGAGAUUUUGGUGCACCCAUCACCUGGGCAAUGGACUGUACCAAAUGG